AACGAACGCUGGCGGCAGGCUUAACACAUGCAAGUCGAGCGCCCCGCAAGGGGAGCGGCAGACGGGUGCGUAACGCGUGGGAAUCUACCCAUCUCUACGGAAUAACGCAUGGAAACGUGUGCUAAUACCGUAUACGUCCUUCGGGUGAAAGAUUUAUCGGAGAUGGAUGAGCCCGCGUUGGAUUAGCUAGUUGGUGGGGUAACGGCCUACCAAGGCGACGAUCCAUAGCUGGUCUGAGAGGAUGAUCAGCCACACUGGGACUGAGACACGGCCCAGAAUCAUCCGGGGGGCAGCAGUGGGAAAUAUUGGACAAUGGGCGCAAACCUAAUCCAGCCAUGCCGCGUAAGUGAUGAAGGCCCUAGGGUUGUAAAGCUCUUUCACCGGUGAAGAUAAUGGCGGUAACCGGAGAAGAAGCCCCGGCUAACUUCGUGCCAGCCGCCGCGGUAAAAC
rnacentral:rRNA from 1 species